rnacentral:rRNA from 1 species
UACGAAGGGAGCUAGCGUUGUUCGGAAUCACUGGGCGUAAAGCGCACGUAGGCGGCAUUGCAAGUCGGAUGUGAAAUCCCUCGGCUUAACCAAGGAAGUGCAUCCGAAACUGCAGUGCUUGAGUACUUAAGAGGAUCGCGGAAUUCCCGGUGUAGAGGUGAAAUUCGUAGAUAUCGGGAGGAACACCAGUGGCGAAGGCGGCGAUCUGGGAAGAUACUGACGCUGAGACGCGAAAGCGUGGGGAGCUAACAGG